GUAACAAGGUUUCCGUAGGUGAACCUGCGGAAGGAUCAUUACCGAGUGAGGGCCCUCUGGGUCCAACCUCCCACCCGUGUUUAUUUUACCUUGUUGCUUCGGCGGGCCCGCCUUAACUGGCCGCCGGGGGGCUUACGCCCCCGGGCCCGCGCCCGCCGAAGACACCCUCGAACUCUGUCUGAAGAUUGUAGUCUGAGUGAAAAUAUAAAUUAUUUAAAACUUUCAACAACGGAUCUCUUGGUUCCGGCAUCGAUGAAGAACGCAGCGAAAUGCGAUACGUAAUGUGAAUUGCAAAUUCAGUGAAUCAUCGAGUCUUUGAACGCACAUUGCGCCCCCUGGUAUUCCGGGGGGCAUGCCUGUCCGAGCGUCAUUGCUGCCCUCAAGCACGGCUUGUGUGUUGGGCCCCGUCCUCCGAUCCCGGGGGACGGGCCCGAAAGGCAGCGGCGGCACCGCGUCCGGUCCUCGAGCGUAUGGGGCUUUGUCACCCGCUCUGUAGGCCCGGCCGGCGCUUGCCGAUCAACCCAAAUUUUUAUCCAGGUUGACCUCGGAUCAGGUAGGGAUACCCGCUGAACUUAAGCAUAUCAAUAA
rnacentral:misc_RNA from 1 species